UAGGGAAUCUUGCGCAAUGGGCGAAAGCCUGACGCAGCCAUGCCGCGUGAAUGAUGAAGGUCUUAGGAUUGUAAAAUUCUUUCACCGGGGACGAUAAUGACGGUACCCGGAGAAGAAGCCCCGGCUAACUUCGUGCCAGCAGCCGCGGUAAUACGAAGGGGGCUAGCGUUGCUCGGAAUUACUGGGCGUAAAGGGAGCGUAGGCGGAUAGUUUAGUCAGAGGUGAAAGCCCAGGGCUCAACCUUGGAAUUGCCUUUGAUACUGGCUAUCUUGAGUAUGGAAUAGGUAUGUGGAACUCCGAGUGUAGAGGUGAAAUUCGUAGAUAUUCGGAAGAACACCAGUGGCGAAGGCGACAUACUGGUCCAUUACUGACGCUGAGGCUCGAAAGCGUGGGGAGCAAACA
rnacentral:rRNA from 1 species